rnacentral:rRNA from 1 species
GGCCGAGAGGGGCAGGGUGAGUAUGUCUNGGGAACUGCCUGAUGGAGGGGGAUAACUACUGGAAACGGUAGCUAAUACCGCAUAACGUCGCAAGACCAAAGAGGGGGACCUUCGGGCCUCUUGCCAUCAGAUGUGCCCAGAUGGGAUUAGCUAGUAGGUGGGGUAAUGGCUCACCUAGGCGACGAUCCCUAGCUGGUCUGAGAGGAUGACCAGCCACACUGGAACUGAGACACGGUCCAGACUCCUACGGGAGGCAGCAGUGGGGAAUAUUGCACAAUGGGCGCAAGCCUGAUGCAGCCAUGCCGCGUGUGUGAAGAAGGCCUUCGGGUUGUAAAGCACUUUCAGCGAGGAGGAAGGUGGUGAGCUUAAUACGCUCAUCAACUGACGUUACUCGCAAA